rnacentral:tRNA from 1 species
UGGGGUGUGGCUCAGUGGUAGAGUGCCUGCCUCCCACGUGAGGCAAUGGGUUCGAUCCUCAGCACCACAA